rnacentral:rRNA from 1 species
AUUGAACGCUGGCGGCAGGCCUAACACAUGCAAGUCGAGCGGCAGCGGAAGGAAGCUUGCUUCCUUGCCGGCGAGCGGCGGACGGGUGAGUAAGGUAUGGGGAUCUGGCCGAAGGCGGGGGAUAACCACUGGAAACGGUGGCUAAUACCGCAUAAUCUCUAAGGAGCAAAGUGGGGGACCGUUCAGGCCUCACACCUUCGGAUGAACCCAUAUGAGAUUAGCUAGUAGGUGGGGUAAUGGCUCACCUAGGCGACGAUCUCUAGCUGGUCUGAGAGGAUGAUCAGCCACACUGGGACUGAGACACGGCCCAGACUCCUACGGGAGGCAGCAGUGGGGAAUAUUGCACAAUGGGCGCAAGCCUGAUGCAGCCAUGCCGCGUGUAUGAAGAAGGCCUUCGGGCUGUAAAGUACUUUCAGUCGUGAGGAAGGUAUUAAGGUUAAUAACCUUAGCAAUUGACGUUAGCGACAGAAGAAGCACCGGCUAACUCCGUGCCAGCCGCCGCAGUAA